GGUCACGUGAUGGAGUUGGUCACCAUACCUGUCUAACAUUCAGUGUGCACAGGAGGUCGCAAGUUCGAUCCUUGCCGGGAUCA